UCAGGAUGAACGCUGGCGGCGUGCCUAAUACAUGCAAGUCGAGCGAGAACUUAGAAGCAGCGAAUAUCAAAGACAGAAAAGGGAAAGCGGCGGACGGGUGAGUAACGCGUAGGCAACCUGCCCUUAGCAGAGGGAUAGCCAUUGGAAACGAUGAUUAAAACCUCAUAACGCUGAACUGACACAUGUCGGAUCAGCCAAAGAUUUAUCGGCUAGGGAUGGGCCUGCGUCUGAUUAACUGGUUGGUGAGGUAACGGCUCACCAAGGUGACGAUCAGUAGCCGACCUGAGAGGGUGAUCGGCCACAUUGGAACUGAGACACGGUCCAAACUUCUACGGAAGGCAGCAGUAAGGAAUCUUGCACAAUGGGGGAAACCCUGAUGCAGCAACGCCGCGUGAACGAUGAAGGCCUUCGGGUUGUAAAGUUCUGAUCUUGGGGAAGAAGGAAGUGACGGUACCCAAGGAGAUAGCCCCGGCUAACUACGUGCCAGCAGCCGC
rnacentral:rRNA from 1 species